GGCUCAGAGCGAACGCUGGCGGCAGGCUUAACACAUGCAAGUCGAGCGGGCCCUUCGGGGUCAGCGGCAGACGGGUGAGUAACGCGUGGGAACGUGCCCUUCGGUUCGGAAUAACUCAGGGAAACUUGAGCUAAUACCGGAUACGUGCUUAGGCAGAAAGGUUUACUGCCGAAGGAUCGGCCCGCGUCUGAUUAGCUGGUUGGUGAGGUUAUGGCUCACCAAGGCGACGAUCAGUAGCUGGUCUGAGAGGAUGAUCAGCCACACUGGGACUGAGACACGGCCCAGACUCCUACGGGAGGCAGC
rnacentral:rRNA from 1 species